rnacentral:lncRNA from 1 species
GUCUUUUUUUAUUUUUCUCAUUUCUUCCUUAAUUUUUUUUCUUUUCUUUUUCCUUUCUUCCCUUUUCCUUUUUUCGGUUUCCUUUCUACCCUUUUCCUUUUUCUUGUUUUCCUUUCUUCCCAUUUCCUUUUUUCGUUUUUCCUUUCUUCCUUUUUUCUUUUUUUGUUUUUCCUUUCUUUCCUUUUCCUUUCUUUCGUUGUUUCUUUCUUUCCUUUUCCUUUUUUUGGUUUCCCUUUCUUCCCUUUUUUUUAUCAUUUUUCCUUCCAUCCUUG